rnacentral:tRNA from 1 species
GUUUAAGUAGUUUAAUUAAGAAUAAUAAUUUGUGGUAUUAUUGGUAUAUUUAUAUCUUAGGCU